UGAAUACGAGACGCUACGGCGUCGAAGCAGUCUAUGUCAUACUUCCAAGAAAAGCUUGCACUGUCAUAAACAAAUAAUGCCUGUACCAUAACCGACACAGGUGGGUAGGUAGAGUAUACUAAGGGGCGCGAGAUAACUCUCUCUAAGGAACUCGGCAAAAUGACUCCGUAACUUCGGGAGAAGGAGUGCCUUAUUUAUGAGGUUGCAAUAACAAGAUCCAAGCAACUGUUUAUCAAAAACACAGGUCUCCGCUAAGUCGUAAGACGAUGUAUGGGGGCUGACGCCUGCCCAGUGCCAGAAGGUUAAAGAAGUUGGUUAGCAUUAGCGAAGCUGAUAACUGAAGCCCUGGUGAACGGCGGCCGUAACUAUAACGGUCCUAAGGUAGCGAAAUUCCUUGUCGGGUAAGUUCCGACCCGCACGAAAGGCGUAAUGAUUUGGAUACUGUCUCAGAGAGGGGCUCGGUGAAAUAGACUUGUCUGUGAAGAUGCGGACUACCUGCACCAGGACAGAAAGACCCUAUGAAGCUUUACUGUAACUUGAAAUUGAAAUUGGACUUUAUUUGCGCAGUAUAGGUGGGAGGCAUUGAUAAUAUUCUUGCGGGAAUGUUGGAGCCAUCAGUGAGAUACCACUCUUGUAAUGUUAGAUUUCUAACUUUGGAUCAUUAUCUGGUCAAAGGACAGUUUCAGGCGGGCAGUUUGACUGGGGCGGUCGCCUCCUAAAUGGUAACGGAGGCGCACAAAGGUUUCCUCUGAACGGGUAGAAAUCGUAUCUAGAGUGUAAAGGCAUAAGGAAGCUUGACUGUGAGACCUACAAGUCGAGCAGGGACGAAAGUCGGUCUUAGUGAUCUGACGGUGCUGAGUGGAAAGGCCGUCACUCAACGGAUAAAAGUUACUCUAAGGAUAACAGGCUGAUCUCCCCCAAGAGUUCACAUCGACGGGGAGGUUUGGCACCUCGAUGUCGGCUCAUCGCAUCCUGGGGCGGUAGUACGUCCCAAGGGUUGGGCUGUUCGCCCAUGAAAGCGGUACGCGAGCUGGGUUCAGAACGUCGUGAGACAGUUCGGUCCAUAUCCGGUGUAGGCGUUAGAAUAUUGAGAGGAGCCUUCUUUAGUACGAGAGGACCGAGAAGGACAUACCUCUGGUGUACCAGUUAUCGUGCCAACGGUAAACGCUGGGUAGCUAUGUAUGGAGAGGAUAACCGCUGAAAGCAUCUAAGUGGGAAGCCCACCUCAAGAUAAGUAUUCUC
rnacentral:rRNA from 1 species